UACGUAGGGCGCAAGCGUUGUCCGGAAUUAUUGGGCGUAAAGAGCUCGUAGGCGGUUUGUCGCGUCUGCUGUGAAAACCUAAGGCUCAACCUUGGGCUUGCAGUGGGUAGGGGCAGACUAGAGUGCGGUAGGGGUGACUGGAAUUCCUGGUGUAGCGGUGGAAUGCGCAGAUAUCAGGAGGAACACCGAUGGCGAAGGCAGGUCACUGGGCCGCAACUGACGCUGAGGAGCGAAAGCAUGGGGAGCGAACAGG
rnacentral:rRNA from 1 species